AGGAGUGUAGCUCAGCUGGAAGAGCAGCGGUCUCCAAAACCGCAGGUCGGGGGUUCGAGUCCCUCCACUCCUGCCA
rnacentral:tRNA from 2 species